GGGUCAGUAGGUUGGUCGUGCCACCGGUACGUACUGGUCUCAUUGAUUCCUCCUUCCUGAAGAACCGUAAUGCCAUUAAUUUGGUGUUGCGGGGAAACAGGACUGUUACUUUGAAAAAAUUAGAGUGUUUAAAGCAAGCUAACGCUUGGAUACAUUAGCAUGGAAUAAUGAAAUAGGACGAUCGAUCCUAUUUUGUUGGUUUCUAGGAUUGACGUA
rnacentral:rRNA from 1 species